rnacentral:rRNA from 1 species
GACGAACGCUGGCGGCGUGCUUAACACAUGCAAGUCGAACGGAAAGGCCCUGCUUUUGUGGGGUGCUCGAGUGGCGAACGGGUGAGUAACACGUGAGUAACCUGCCCUUGACUUUGGGAUAACUUCAGGAAACUGGGGCUAAUACCGGAUAGGAGCUCCUGCUGCAUGGUGGGGGUUGGAAAGUUUCGGCGGUUGGGGAUGGACUCGCGGCUUAUCAGCUUGUUGGUGGGGUAGUGGCUUACCAAGGCUUUGACGGGUAGCCGGCCUGAGAGGGUGACCGGCCACAUUGGGACUGAGAUACGGCCCAGACUCCUACGGGAGGCAGCAGUGGGGAAUAUUGCACAAUGAGCGGAAGCCUGAUGCAGCGGCGCCGCGUGCGGGAUGACGGCCUUCGGGUUGUAAACCGCUUUCGCCUGUGACGAAGCGUGAGUGACGGUAAUGGGUAAAGAAGCACCGGCUAACUACGUG